ensembl:lncRNA
CGGAGAGAGACAGACGGAGAGAGUGAGACAGACAGGGAGAGACACACACAGAGAGAGAGAGAUGCUGGAUGCUGUAACUCAUAUAGGUGUCCAGACAAAAAGUCCAGCUUUAAGAUCUCUGGCAGGACAGGAUUCUGGCUGCUGCUGAAGGAAACAUGAAGAGCACAUUCUCUGUCUUGCUGUCGUCCAGGUACGUGCUGUUCUGUCCCAUGCACACAUGCGCUCUCUCUCUCUCACACACACAUGCUUGCUGACACAUUAGGAAUCUCUUUUUAACGACCAGACAUGUUUAGCAUCUGAUAAUCUACGCAUCUCCACCUUAGGUGGGUGGGGGAGCUAUUUUUAUUCCUCCUUAAACCUAGUGGGGUUGUGGUUUUAGCAAGGCUAAUAGCUUUUGGUGGGUCAGUAAAUAACUACUGCGCUUAAGUGCCACAUUAAAAGCAAGCUUCUAUGUCUGUAGUAGGGAUGUGGGAAGAUGAAUUGGAACUGUGGGAAUGUCAGGCUGUUUUGACACGUUUAAAUGUGUCAGAGCUUAAACCCCACCUCGUCUCCUCCCCCCAUCUGGCCUGGGUGUAUUUCGAGACCACUUAUCAGGGUUGACACCGGAUCCACCACUGGUCUGGGACAGAUUGUGACGAGACCAGCGAGGAGGAGCUGUGGAGUAGGCUUGAGUGUUCGGAUGAAUUAAAGCAAUGUCAACACAUUCAUUCUGACAGACUUUUAUUUCAGCAGCUUCAUCACUCUACAUAGUGCAGCACUGCACUUUACUCUCAGAGCAGUCAUAUGAGACACACACACACACACGCACACUCUCUAAUGUGUUUAUGGGAUAAUGUGUCCUGUCAUAUUGUAAAGGAACAGACUGCAUAGUGAGCUCAUAC